rnacentral:rRNA from 1 species
CCUACGGGAGGCAGCAGUAGGGAAUCUUCCACAAUGGAGGAAAGUCUGAUGGAGCAAUGCCGCGUGAGUGAAGAAGGUUUUCGGAUCGUAAAACUCUGUUGUUGAAGAAGAACAUAUGUGAGAGUAACUGUUCACGUACUGACGGUAUUCAACCAGAAAGCCACGGCUAACUACGUGCCAGCAGCCGCGGUAAU